rnacentral:snRNA from 1 species
UUGUUUCAGCAGCACAUAUUCUAAAAUUGGAUCAAUACAGAACAGAUAAGCAUGCCUGCUGCCUAAGGAGGGCACGCAAAUUCAGAAAGCAUUCCACAUGUUG